GCCUGGGUGGCUCAGUCGGUUAAGCAUCUGACUUCGGCUCAGGUCACGAUCUCACAGUGCAUGGGUUCGAGCCCCACGUCAGGCU
rnacentral:tRNA from 1 species